UUUUCUCAAAAGUUUUACGUUCUACUAAACCGAGUUUUAAACAAUAAAGAGAAAUAUUUAACUCCUUUUAUUAACAAUGGAAAUUCAUUUAUUUCUUUCUUUUUACAAAACAAAUGAAGCAAAAUAAUAAGUAUUGUUUACUGAGGAGACAAUAGGCUGUUUAUAGCAAUUGUAGACGUUACUAUCAUCGGUAUUGCUAUCUGAAAUUUAAUUGCUGCGAGUGGGACUGAUAGAGGGGCAGUACAUGUACUCGAACAACAUGACAAAAUAAUCCUGAUCAUUACAAUGUUUUAAGAUUGUCGUAUGUAUUUAUGUAUUUCCAAUUGCUUUUGCACACGAUACCAAUUUUGCACUCGUUUCACACCUGCUAAUCGAUAUUUAAAUCAAUGCCAAGGUACCCCGGACUCAAUUUUAUAACAAAAAUAUUAAUUUCCUUAGUAACAGUGAGUAUCAAACUAAUGUACAUAAAUAUAUCAGUAUAUGUGUGGAUUUCGAUCUAUUACAUCACAAUUGGUCAAAAAUAAUGAGUAUAUAAAGGUAUUGCAUUGGCGACCAUUUCUUUUUUCAAUUUAAUGCAGUUGGUUUGAUCUUAAGGUGCCUUAACAGAAUGCCAUGGAACUGUAGACUUAAGUCACAGCCAAUGGAAUCCGAUUAAUGAUAAAGAAGUGGAUGCACUAUCACAUACAGCAUCUGCUCGCAUAAAGCGAGAUAUGGUAAAUUUCUUUAACGACCCUCCCUUUGGAUUAUAUGCAGUCCUCGAUGAAGAUAAUCUCAAAUUAAUACAUGCAAUCAUUAUUGGAGUUGCAAAUACACCUUAUGAAGGAGGAUUUUUCUAUUUUAUACUAAAAUGUCCCAAUGACUACCCAUUUCACCCCCCAAAGGUUAAACUUAUGACUACGGACGUAGAAAAUGUUCAAUUCAGUCCCAAUUUCUCUAGAAUAGGGAAAGUUUAUUUGAGUAUUUUAGGGUAAACGAAAUAUUAUUUGCAUUUUAAAUCAAAAUACAA